GUCCCGUCCAUAGCAAUUGCAUUUGUGACAUAUGAGUUGGUGAAGGAUGUUCUUGGAGUUGAGAUGAGGAUAUCUGACUGAAGCAAGAGGAAUUGAAACAUUUUGAACUAAAAUUGGAAGAGAAGAAAGUAACAGUAGGAGGUGGUCAAUAGUUUGGGAUUAUAACAUAUCCAUCUAGCGAGGAAAUUUAGAAGCCGACCCACAUUUAACCCAUGUUAAUAUUCCACCCCUCUCAUACUCCAUUUAUUACUAUCUAAACCCUUAUUAGUUUUUAGAUUUCUUAUUCCUAUAUGCCAUGGCAAUAAGUAUUUGUGUGGAAGUGAUGCACUGUGUGCAUUCCAAUAGGUUUC
rnacentral:misc_RNA from 1 species